GCAUGAUCAGAAUAUCAAAGGAUUCUCUUCGGAGAUUCCACUUUGAGAUGGACCCGCGGCGCAUUAGCUAGUUGGUGAGGUAACGGCUCAUCAAGGCAACGAUGCGUAGCCGACCUGAGAGGGUGAUCGGCCACAUUGGAACUGAGACACGGUCCAGACUCCUACGGGAGGCAGCAGUGGGGAAUAUUGCGCAAGUGGGGGAAACCCUGACGCAGCAACGCCGCGUGAAUGAAAGGGCCUUCGGGUUUAAAGUUC
rnacentral:rRNA from 1 species